rnacentral:rRNA from 1 species
UACUCCUACGGGAGGCAGCAGUGGGGAAUUUUGGACAAUGGGCGCAAGCCUGAUCCAGCCAUGCCGCGUGUCUGAAGAAGGCCUUCGGGUUGUAAAGGACUUUUGUCAGGGAAGAAAAGGAUAGGGUUAAUACCCCUGUCUGAUGACGGUACCUGAAGAAUAAGCACCGGCUAACUACGUGCCAGCAGCCGCGGUAAUACGUAGGGUGCAAGCGUUAAUCGGAAUUACUGGGCGUAAAGCGAGCGCAGACGGUUACUUAAGCAGGAUGUGAAAUCCCCGGGCUCAACCUGGGAACUGCGUUCUGAACUGGGUGACUAGAGUGUGUCAGAGGGAGGUAGAAUUCCACGUGUAGCAGUGAAAUGCGUAGAGAUGUGGAGGAAUACCGAUGGCGAAGGCAGCCUCCUGGGAUAACACUGACGUUCAUGCUCGAAAGCGUGGGUAGCAAACAGGAUUAGAUACCCUGGUAGUCCACGCCCUAAACGAUGUCAAUUAGCUGUUGGGCAACUUGAUUGCUUAGUAGCGUAGCUAACGCGUGAAAUUGACCGCCUGGGGAGUACGGUCGCAAGAUUAAAACUCAAAGGAAUUGACGGA